GUUUUAAUUAAGUCAGCUUGAGUGGUCCAUAUUCACUGCCAAGGCUGUUGCAGCGAGCUCUGACGCUGGGUGCUCGGUGGGAAUCAGCUGGAGCCGUAGCCAAGCCUCUCAUAAGCUCAAUUCAUGACCUGCGGUCCCAGAGAGGGGAUUCAUUGCCACUUGUCGUGUGGGAAGUGGAUUACAGCCAAGUGCCUCCACGCCUUGGAAAGGCUGCUGUUCUGUUGUGCUGUGGAUUUGUGGAUGACGUUUUCAUACGGUCGGGAUUGAACGGCGUGCCUAGUUUGGGCGGCUUCACUGUCAGGAUCAACCUCUGGGCCCUGGUGGACAGCCUGACUGCCUCCCCUCCCCCUGCCUGAGAUAAGUAGCCUAGUUUGAUAAAUGGGCUAUUGGUGAAUGAAUGAUUGCCAUAUAAUUACUGUCAAGCCUUUUACCAACUCUUGUGUCUCUGUUCCUCCUCUCUCUCUCGCUUUCUCUCUCUUCCGGACAGGUGUGGUGGGUUUCCCACAGGCGGCAGGCCAUCCUUCAGGUGGCGGAGUUCCCCCCUCACUUUUCUCUGCUGUGUACAACGGGUGCUUUAUUCUGAAUUGCAGUGCCAUUAUCCUUCACGUGUGGUGCGUGUCUUCUGGGUCCCUCCUUUUCCCCCUUUUUUGGAAAUCCUGCUCGCUGUGGCGCCUCUGCCUCAGUGCUUGGUCCUUCUGCAUCCCCUUCACAACCCCCGACCCAGGCCCCGGCCCACCUGAAGAACCUCUGGAGCCGACCCAGGCCCACCUGAAGAACCUCUGGAGCCGACCCAGCCCCCGGCCCACCUGAAGAACCUCUGGAGCCGACCCAGGCCCACCUGAAGAACCUCUGGAGCCGACCCAGGCCCCGGCCCACCUGAAGAACCUCUGCGGCCCGGCACUUGUUUCAGCGGGGUCAUUGAUCUGGUUCAGGUGCCAAUGGAGACCCACUCCCUUACUGUGUCUAUUCACGCAGUCCAGCUCCUCUGGUCUGGGGUAUAAGGGUGGUGCAUGGCAACAGGAGUCUGGGCCAAUUCCUCUCAAUGCAAAGCCUUAAGGCUCAAACCAGGGGUUGUGCUUGUGUAGGAUAAUGAGUAGAGGGGGACGGUGGUAGGGUGGGUUGGAAGGUGAUCGAUAAAUCUGCCCACACAAAAUCCAGACACCUUUCUGAUUCUAUUCCAGCUGAGCAUAGGCACAACCAGCACCCUGGUGUGUCCACUAUAGACCCUUUCAACAAUAACAACAAAAACAAUGCUUGAACGUUUAUUUGGUUCCCAAUCUACUUCCUCUGCAUUAAGAUAACAUAUGGAAUGUUAAAACGGAAGUGUGUCCCCUGUAUAAGCAAUGCACAGCAUUGAAUGUCUGCUCUAAUAAGAGUAAUAAGAGUAAUCCAUAUUGUGAAAUGCUGUUGCUUGGAAACUGGAUAAGCACUGAACAAGUGUUCCUGUGUAGAAAUACGUAAUAGUGAGUGUCAGAAUAUUACAAACAAACCAUUACCAAUGCAAAGCAGGUUAAUGAAGGUUAAGAGCCCUUAAUUUGACUCUGUUUUUUUGUAAUCCAACUCUUCCAUGAUUGAAAGGCUGAAGUAUAUAAGCAGGUUUGUUUUGGCAUCCUUCAUAUUGUAAGGCCAGCAAUUUUCCUACCUAAACCAGUGGAAAAGUAUUAUAUUGAGAGAGGCUUUUGUAACCAGCAGCACCCCUGUUUAUACAUACAGUGAACUAGAACGUUUCUGGUUUCAGCUCAGCUGCUAUUUGGUCUUGGCUCUCCUUACCCUGUUGAGGGCCUAACUCAGACCCAGGCCUCUCCUGGAUCGCAGGAAAAUACAUGAACUGAUGUAUAAUUUUAUCACGUCUGAUAUCAUUUUAAAAGUCUCCAUGCGAGAAAUCCAGUAUUGUCAGUUGUAGAACAGUAAAGUUAAUGCAUAUGAUGUUUCUGUAACCUGGGAUAUUUGAGGCCCUCUCUGAUGAGAUGCGCCCACACCCCCUGCUCUGAGAAAAGAGAAAUGUCCUGGGGCCAGUUGCACCAACUGUUCUUUGCUAUGCCUGGUCCUAACUGCUAAGUUGGUGUUUGUUAAGACCAGUCUUAAGAAUUGAACCUACAUUGGUUGCACCAACUGAACGUACGCCUAGGCUUAACUGUGCCCAGUCUCAGCGAUGCACACACAAUGCCUACGGAACAAUAACAAGUAUUAAUUUCCCAGUUGCAAAGAUUCUUUGCCGUCUGUUAGGGUGACCCCCCCGACCCCCCCCACAUCCUCGGAGGAA